UACAGAGGUCCCAAGCGUUGUUCGGAUUCACUGGGCGUAAAGGGUGCGUAGGUGGCGAGGAAAGUCUGAUGUGAAAUCUCCGGGCUUAACCCGGAAAUGGCAUUGGAAACUACCUUGCUCGAGGAUUGGAGGGGGACUGGAAUACUUGGUGUAGCAGUGAAAUGCGUAGAUAUCAAGUGGAACACCAGUGGCGAAGGCGAGUCCCUGGACAACUUCUGACACUGAGGCACGAAAGCUAGGGAGCAAACAGG
rnacentral:rRNA from 1 species